UUGCGUGAGCCCCCACGUCUGUCCUGUGACCAGCUCCUCCCAUGCGCAGCCUUGGCCCGGCUGCUGGGGGCAGUAAACAGCCACGGUCUGAUGCCUCCAUGGCCGAGAGAGGAGAGGCCGGCACUGGGCCCUGACCUGGGCCCCAGGCGGAGGGAGCCCGGCUCCUGGGCACGACUUCCGAUGCCUCCCUCAGACCAGCUGGGCCUCUGGGUGAGGGCAGCGGGGAGACUGGUGUGUCCUCAGAGGCUGACCCGUGCGAGACCCUGUGAAAGCGAGAGUGUCAGUUUGGGGUGCAAAGGCUGGGUUGGCCCGGAGCUGUGGACUGGACGUGCCCCACCCGGAGUGGGCUGCUAUUCUCGGUGCUGAGUGUUCCCCAAAGCCAUGGGCUAAGGAGUGGUGCCCAAGGCUGAGGAGGCUCUGCCAGUGCCCACCCUCUUCGCUGACCGAGCGGGCCGCACCCUGCAGGGGCCAUUUGUGGAGAGGACCUGUGCAGAGACAGAGCAUCGGGGACUAUUUCAGAUCAAGCUUACGACGCUGUCUGUGACGACAUUAAAGAGCACUUUCAAGUCGAACCUACAGCGGGAGGAUGUGAAAAGGAGUCGCCACCGUGCCAUCCCGGCGACGCUGAGCAAAGGGAUUGUGUGGAGAAGCCGCGUGUUUUCCUUUUGAGUCUGAAAGGAGCUGGGGGGAUCCUCACGAGGCGCUGGGGUCCCUCCCCGAGCCUGCUUUCAUCCGCACCCCUGCCCCCACUGCCCGCUGUUUGUGUUCUCCCCCUGGCCAGGGAGGCCCCGGAAUUUCUCUUUAGCUUUUGUUUGCUAAAGGGAGGUUCAGGGCUUAUGUAAAAACUGGCACCUAAGUCUGACAUAGUUUCUGCAGCCAGGAGCGCCUCUGAGAGUGGAGGUCAGCUUUCAGACUGGGCUUUAACUGCCGCGCUUGUAAUCCCAAGAUGUUGAAUGCUUUUUAAAUUGCA